UACGUAGGGUGCGAGCGUUGUCCGGAAUUAUUGGGCGUAAAGAGCUCGUAGGCGGUGUGUCACGUCGGCCGUGAAAACCUGCAGCUUAACUGUGGGCGUGCGGUCGAUACGGGCAUCACUGGAGUUCGGCAGGGGAGACUGGAAUUCCUGGUGUAGCGGUGAAAUGCGCAGAUAUCAGGAGGAACACCGGUGGCGAAAGCGGGUUGCUGGGCUGACACUGACGCUGAUGCGCGAAAGCCAGGGGAGCGAACGGG
rnacentral:rRNA from 1 species